ACAGAAUUAUUUUAGAAUAAUUAUAAAUAAUUUAAAGGAAAUCUAUUUUGAAAAAGAAAUUAUUUUUGAUCUGCUCACCGCUACUAUACACACACACCGUACUAUUAAUAGUUACUGUUAUGAUUUAUAAUUCUUAAAUUUAAUUAUGUGAUAUGCCAUGAUAUUAUUGCACAUGAUCAAUUGUAUCUAUUAUUUCUUGUUGUGAUUGAGAACUGUUAGUAGUUCAUGACCUUAGUGGCCUUGUACAAGACUUAGUGACAGGUGUAUGUUGACUUAGAAAAACAAGAAGAGUUGGGGUUGAAAAGUCUUGGUUCAUGUGAUCGGAUGUGGCUGUUGAUGUAUCUUCCAGACUCGCACCAGUGAACCGUUUCGCACUGGGGUUGGUUUGUUGGGCCAAAUGAAUCGUUUCACACUUGGUCAGUGAAAUCAUUUCGUCACCCAAGUUUUGCUUGAGUUUGGACCAGACCAAAAUUGGAUUGUGUGUAGUCCUCUCACCGAACCGUUUUGCAGGUAUGGAUGCACGUAGAGGAUUUGUGAAUAGUCAGCUAUCCGAGAAAAUGAAUGUUGACUCUAUGUGAGAAAUUGACCAAUAACUUGUUAUAGGAUGGUUGUACGUCAGAUCUAGAAGACGGACAACUUCAGUUCGGAGUCGUACAGGAGCCAGAGGAUCCUUCGCAGGAGUGCUUUGUAGACCGAGCAGAAGAAAUCGAAGCCUAGUCAUUUCUUUUAUUAGUUGUUGAUCCUUAGUUUACUUUUAUAGCACAUUCCAUUUCCGCCUGAUCAAUAUAUAAUAUAUUUUUUCAGUAUUUCAUUCAAAUAGUUUUGUAUAAGGGUAUGUUUGGCCCAAAUAUUAUGUCUGAGAUGAUGUUUUAGUUGUGAUA